UCGGGAAUCUUGCGCAAUGGGCGAAAGCCUGACGCAGCCAUGCCGCGUGAAUGAUGAAGGUCUUAGGAUUGUAAAGUUCUUUCGCUCGUGACGAUGAUGACGGUAACGAGAGAAGAAGCCCCGGCUAACUUCGUGCCAGCAGCCGCGGUAAUACGAAGGGGGCUAGCGUUGUUCGGAAUUACUGGGCGUAAAGCGCGCGUAGGCGGUUUUGCAAGCCAGAGGUGAAAUGCCCGAGCUUAACUUGGGAAUUGCCUUUGGGACUGCGAGGCUUUGAGGACGAGAGAGGUGAGUGGAAUUCCCAGUGUAGAGGUGAAAUUCGUAGAUAUUGGGAAGAACACCGGUGGCGAAGGCGGCCCACUGGCUCGGUACUGACACUGAGGUGCGAAAGCGUGGGGAGCAAACAGGAUUAGAUACCCUUGUAGUCCCUGAGCGGGCUGGCAAGGCGCAU
rnacentral:rRNA from 1 species